UGGGGAAUAUUGCACAAUGGGCGCAAGCCUGAUGCAGCCAUGCCGCGUGUGUGAAGAAGGCCUUCGGGUUGUAAAGCACUUUCAGCGAGGAGGAAGGUGGUGAGCUUAAUACGCUCAUCAAUUGACGUUACUCGCAGAAGAAGCACCGGCUAACUCCGUGCCAGCAGCCGCGGUAAUACGGAGGGUGCAAGCGUUAAUCGGAAUUACUGGGCGUAAAGCGCACGCAGGCGGUUUGUUAAGUCAGAUGUGAAAUCCCCGGGCUCAACCUGGGAACUGCAUUUGAAACUGGCAAGCUAGAGUCUCGUAGAGGGGGGUAGAAUUCCAGGUGUAGCGGUGAAAUGCGUAGAGAUCUGGAGGAAUACCGGUGGCGAAGGCGGCCCCCUGGACGAAGACUGACGCUCAGGUGCGAAAGCGUGGGGCAGCAAACAGGAUUAGAUACCCUGGUAGUCCACGCUGUAAACGAUGUCGAUUUUGGAGGUUGUGCCCUUGAGGCGUGGCUUCCGGAGCUAACGCGUUAAAUCGACCGCCU
rnacentral:rRNA from 1 species